rnacentral:rRNA from 1 species
AGUGAACGCUGGCGGUAGGCCUAACACAUGCAAGUCGAACGGCAGCACAGGAGAGCUUGCUCUCUGGGUGGCGAGUGGCGGACGGGUGAGGAAUACAUCGGAAUCUACUCUGUCGUGGGGGAUAACGUAGGGAAACUUACGCUAAUACCGCAUACGACCUACGGGUGAAAGCAGGGGACCUUCGGGUCUUGCGCGAUUGAAUGCGCCGAUGUCGGAGUAGCUAGUUGGCGGGGGAAAGGCCCACCAAGGCGACGAUCCGUAGCUGGUCUGAGAGGAUGAUCAGCCACACUGGAACUGAGACACAGUCCAGACUCCUACGGGAGGCAGCAGUGGGGAAUAUUGGACAAUGGGCGCAAGCCUGAUCCAGCCAUACCGCGUGGGUGAAGAAGGCCUUCGGGUUGUAAAGCCCUUUUGUUGGGAAAGAAAUCCAGCUGGCUAAUACCCGGUUGGGAUGACGGUACCCAAAGAAUAAGCACCGGCUAACUUCGUGCCAGCAGCCGCCGUAA